GGGGUUGUGGCUCAGCGGUAGAGCACACGUCUAAUGCGCGUGAGGCACUGAAUUCGAUCCUCAGCACCACA
rnacentral:tRNA from 1 species